rnacentral:tRNA from 1 species
GCCUUCGUGAUGUAGUGGUCAGCACACUCGGCGUGUACUCGAUAGGUUCGAGGUUCGAAUCCCGGCGAAGGCA